GAUGAACGCUAGCGGUAGGCUUAACACAUGCAAGUCGAGCGGCAGCACAAGGUAGCUUGCUGUCUGUGUGGCGACCGGCGCACGUGUGCGUAACGCGUAUGCAACUUGCCCUAUACAGGCGGAUCACCCGUCGAAAGACUGCCUAAUACUCCGUGUGCUCACAACUUGGCAUCAAGUGGUGCGUAAGGUAUUUCGGUAUAGGAUAGGCGUGCGUCCCAUUAGCUUGUUGGUGAGGUAACGGCUCACCAAGGAAACGAUGGGGAGGGGAGCUGAGGGGUUUACCCCCCACAAUGGUACUGAGACACGGACCAGAACGCGACGGGAGGCAGCAGUAAGGUAUACGGGGCAAGGGGCGCGAGCCUGACCCAGCCAAGUCGCGUGAAGGAGGACUGUCUUAGGGAUGGUAAACUUCUUGUAUACGGGAAUAACAAGAGCAAAGGGUGACUCCCUGCAUGUACCGUAUGAAUAAGCAUCGGCUAACUCCGUG
rnacentral:rRNA from 1 species